AUACUCACCCGGCGGGGCAAAUACUGUAAUCACAAAGGUGGCUUUCCCAGGGUGAGACUCACCCAUUCCACUCCGGUGUGCUGACCCCUGAGUUUUCCCGAAAUGCGGGAAACUUGACUGCAUAAUUUAUGAUAGUGAGAGAUUGCGUUCAUGCUUUUCCUUG